rnacentral:misc_RNA from 1 species
GCCUAUUUUACUUGUGCAUUAAUUGAAAUAUCUAUGAGAUUGAGUAACCAUUAAGAGUUGCUAAAGACAGUAUUUCUCUUAGCCCAAAGACUGCAACUAGCAAUUCUCAUUGCAUAACUCACUAUGACCACACCAGCACACAAUAAUUAAAAAAAAAGAAACAUAAAUUUGAGUUUCAUCAAUUUUUACUAUUUCCCGCAAGUCAAGUAUCCUGGCAUAGGACUGGCACGCGGUGAUCGGAGAGGAACCUCGUUAAGCUGCUUCCCGCUACUAUCAUAAUAAAUUACACCCGAAAAAUCUAACGGCUGGCACUUAUACCCCAUCAAGAUCGACUUCUGCCAAACCCCACCGUCCCCGAACUCGUCAGACUCCACAACGUCGUCGUCUUCGUCCGCUCGUUUCUUGUUGUGAAUAAACGAGAUUGCCUUGUUGCUUAUCUGCGUCAACAGCUGCUUCGGGCGGACUAGAGGCGAUUUCGGCGACACUAGUUUUGGAGUUUUGUCGCCGUCAUGGUGGUGGUGGGUGGACUUGGUGGCCGUGGGCUUGAGCUUGGUGGA